CAGCAGUAGCCGCGGUAAUGCGGAUGGGGCUAGCGUUGUUCGGAAUUACUGGGCGUAAAGCGCACGUAGGCGGCUUGGCAAGUUAGAGGUGAAAGCCUGGAGCUCAACUCCAGAAUUGCCUUUAAGACUGCCGAGCUAGCAGGUGAGAGAGGUAAGUGGAAUUCCGAGUGUAGAGGUGAAAUUCGUAGAUAUUCGGAAGAACACCAGUGGCGAAGGCGGCUUACUGGCUCAUACUGGACGCUGAGGUGCGAAAGCGUGGGGAGCAAACAGGAUUAGAUACCCCUGUAGUCCCUGUCUCUUAUAU
rnacentral:rRNA from 1 species